UCCCCAUGGUCACCUAAUCAGAAUUCAGGCACUAGGCAAUGUGCAUAUAUUUAUGAUGGUUGCAGCAUCCUGGGAUCACGCAAUCAACUGUUG